rnacentral:rRNA from 1 species
AGAGUUUGAUCCUGGCUCAGAACGAACGCUGGCGGCAGGCCUAACACAUGCAAGUCGAGCGCACCUUCGGGUGAGCGGCGGACGGGUGAGUAACGCGUGGGAAUAUGCCCUUUGGUACGGAAUAGUCCUGGGAAACUGGGGGUAAUACCGUAUGCGCCCUUCGGGGGAAAGAUUUAUCGCCAAAGGAUUAGCCCGCGUUGGAUUAGGUAGUUGGUGGGGUAAUGGCCUACCAAGCCGACGAUCCAUAGCUGGUUUGAGAGGAUGAUCAGCCACACUGGGACUGAGACACGGCCCAGACUCCUACGGGAGGCAGCAGUGGGGAAUCUUAGACAAUGGGGGCAACCCUGAUCUAGCCAUGCCGCGUGAGUGAAGAAGGCCUUCGGGUUGUAAAGCUCUUUCAGCUGGAGCGAAACGGUACGCUCUAACAUAGCGUGCUAAUGACGGUACCAGCAGAAGAAGCACCGGCUAACUACGUGCCAGCAGCCGCGGUAAUACGUAGGGUGCGAGCGUUAAUCGGAAUUACUGGGCGUAAAGCGUGCGCAGGCGGAUUGUUAAGCAAGACGUGAAAUCCCCGGGCUUAACCUGGGAAUGGCGUUUUGAACUGGCAGUCUAGAGUGCGUCAGAGGGGGGUGGAAUUCCACGUGUAGCAGUGAAAUGCGUAGAGAUGUGGAGGAACACCGAU